GGAUCGCCACCGCAAGGUUCCAUGUCAUGUACUGGUUCCCUAUCAUCACCAUCAAUCUCUAAACGAGACUGACCUAAAUUUUUAACUGGUUCUUGCCACAAAAUUUGUACUCAUCGGAUGGUAGCCAAAAGUGCUUAAUUUUUCACACAAUUUCACUGGGCAAUCACAGUUUGAUGAUUGGUUACAAUUUUUACUCCAAUCCUUGGUUUAUUCAUUUUCUCAAAGUUCA
rnacentral:misc_RNA from 1 species